UACGGGGGGGGCAAGCGUUGUUCGGAAUUACUGGGCGUAAAGGGCGCGCAGGCGGCCAAGGAAGUUCUGGGUGAAAGCCCCCGGCUUAACCGGGGAAGUGCCUGGAAAACCACUUGGCUGGAGUGCUGGAGAGGGAAGCGGAAUUCCUGGUGUAGCGGUGAAAUGCGUAGAUAUCAGGAGGAACACCGGAGGCGAAGGCGGCUUCCUGGACAGACACUGACGCUGAGGCGCGAAAGCCAGGGGAGCAAACGGG
rnacentral:misc_RNA from 1 species